AUGGAUUCAGUUGAACUCGAAGACAGUGGUGAACACCAACCGUCUCUGGAAGUUUCCCUUGCUUCAGAUGUGAUAUAUGAUGACGCACCUGUAUGUCCGUGCAUUGGGAGUGACCACCAGGCAGAAAUCCCGAAUCUGUCCACAGAGGAUGAGCGUCAGCAGCUCAUGACCAGCUCGCCUGGAGGCGUGCUACCUGGUUUUGAUUACCCUGUUACGAUUGGGUUAGCUAUACCGGUCACAUGGGGACCAAGUGAAGUCCGUAAGGAGGAAGAAUUAGGAAGGCAUCAUUCUUCAGAAACCAAAGCAAGAGCCAUCAGCCAGGAUGAGGAUCGUCCUGUAACCUCAGUUUGUCCAACCAGCAAUGAUAUGAGUGACCAUGAUUCAACAUAUCAGGAUCCACAGCCCAUGGUGCCUGUAGAUCAUGUAGAAUCUGGCAGUAAUCGAGCACAUGCCGAGAACUUGGCCCCGUGUUCUACACAAGAAGGCCACAAUUUUACUAAUAAGCCAAUGAUGCAGGAAGGGGAAAUUGAUCAAUUUAUUCCGCUGCCGUGUGCAUCCACUUCCCUUUGGAGUGGUAUUGAGGCAGAAUGUUUUCUGCUCGGGCUUUACAUUUUCGGCAAAAAUCUAAGUCUGCUGAGCAGGUUCCUUGGUAACAAGACUAUUGGGGAUGUGCUUUCCUACUACUAUGGAAAGUUCUACAAAAGAGACGCGUAUAGAAGAUGGUCGGAUUGCAGAAAAGCACGAACUAGGAGAUGCAUUCUCGGGGAACGCAUUUUUACAAGUUGGCGGCAGCAGGAGAUUAUUUCUCGUCUUAAAUCUGUAAUACUCAAUGAAGCUCAUGAUUCGUUGCUGGAGAUUUUCAAAUAUUUCAACGAUGGACAAACAUCUUUAGAAGAUUUUGUCUUUGCUCUGAAAUCCACUGUUGGAACAGAAGCUCUUGUGGAGGCUGUUGGAAUUGGUAAAGAGAAACGUGAUUUGACUGGAUUUGUUCUGGACCCAUCUAAGCCAAACCAAGUUCCAAAUCAUCCUGACAUGCCUACAGGCAAAGACUGUUCAUCGCUUGCUUCGGAAGAGAUAAUUAAGUUCUUAACAGGCGAUUUCAGAAGAAGCAAGACAAGAUCAAAUGAUCUUUUCUGGGAAGCUGUCUGGCCCCGUUUGCUUGCAAGAGGGUGGCAUUCAGAGCAGCCAAAAGAUGUCAGCACAACUAAGAAUUCCCUUGUGUUUCUUGUGCCAGGUAUAAAGAAAUUCUCAAGAAGUAAACUCACUAAAGGUACUCAUUAUUUUGAUUCUGUCAGCGAUGUCCUUAAACGAGUGGCAGCGGAUCCCAUCCUUCUUGACCUAGAGGUUGGCGGAUUGGCCAAUGAUAUUACUGCCGAGGAAAAUGGCUAUGACACAGACGUGAAAAAUAACCAAGAUGAUCCUUUGGAUGGUAAUCAGGAGCUUCCAAGGUUCACAAUUAUUGAUACUACCUUGGUACAAGGACAAGAGCCCUUCAGAAUCAGGGAGAUGAGGAGACUACCUGCUGAUGCAAAAGUUCGUUCUGUCCCUUCACGCCAAUCACGCAAGGUUGUGACUGUCAGUUCAUCGGAGGGGUCAGAUGCAGAUGGUCGAUUGUCAGAUGACCAGGAAUAUCGUGGACCAGUUACAACUGAUGUUAACGACACUGAAAUCUUUUCAGUGCGCAAUGUAAAGAAAGAAACCCAAGUUGAUUCGUUGCAAAACAUGGUGACUGCAUCAUGCUCAGAUUUUCCAGUCAAUGGUCAUUCUUCUAAUGGCAGUGGUAACGAAAUUGAUUUGACAUGCUUAUUUGAGCCCAAAACAAAAACUGAAAGGCGCAAGUAUUUAUCACCAGUGUCAAAGCGCAGAAAAUUAUCUAGCUGUAACAAUGACCAGACCAGCCGGCGCAGCUUUCCUUUCUCCAAGGGAGUUGGUUCAACAAAAGAGAAAAUCAAGCCACUGUCAACCUCGUCAAAACCAACUGUCGGUGAUGUUUCUGGUAAUUCUCAGAUCAAAGAGAAAAUCAAGCCACUGUCAACGUCAUCAAAACCAACUGUCGGUGAUGUUUCUGGUAAUUCUCAGAUCAAAGAGAAAACCAAGCCACUGUCAACGUCAUCAAAACCAACUGCCGGUGAUGUUUCUGGUAAUUCUCAGAUCAAAGAGAAAACCAAGCCACUGUCGACGUCAUCAAAACCAACUAUCGGUGAUGUUUCUGGUAAUUCUCAGAUCAAAGAGAAAAUCAAGCCACUGUCAACAUCAUCAAAACCAACUGUUGGUGAUGUUUCUGGUAAUUCUCAGAUCAAAGAGAAAAUCAAGCCACUGCCAACCUCAUCAAAACCAACUGUUGGUAAUGUUUCUGGUAAUUCUCAGAUCAAAGAGAAAAUCAAGCCACUGCCAACCUCAUCAAAACCAAUUGUCGGUGAUGUUUCUGGUAAUUCUCAGAUCAAAAUGGUUGCAAGAUGUUCCACAGAGAAGCCACGCGAGCACGUAAGAGGUGCAUCAAACACUCUUACCAAUGACAGGUCAAGUGAGAAGAUGAAAGUGAAGAACUUAUAUGAGGACAAAUCAUUUGAGCGCAAGGUCGAUGCUCUGCCUGAAGUUCAUUCAAAGAUCACCAUCGGUGAGACAAAAUUUGCGAAAGGGGCUCAAGCUAGUAGUUCGGUUGGUCAGGUUAAACAGGAGACGCCACUUGAUAGCAUGACAGGUGCAAUUGUAUGUGUCACUUUAUCAGACGAUGAUGAUUACAUGAUGGCUGAGGAAGCUCCCUCCAUUUCCAGCAGCGAUCAGAUCCGUGAUCCAGAGGUAGCAGAACGACCCAUGGCUAUGGUACAACCUGCUAGUUCACAAGCUGAUUUGGCUCCGCAGGCGGAUUCUCGGAGGCAUGGAACCAGAAACAGGCCUCCCACAGCAAAAGCUCUGGAAGCACUUGCCUUGGGGCUCAUUGGAAAGCGCAAGGGCGAACCCAAAAGCCCUGGAACAAGAAGGCCUCCCCAGCGAGCUCGCAAAUCCAGUAAAAAAUCGGUUCAUACACCUACCGGCAGCGACACCGACAAAUCCAGCAUGGAUGCUGAUGCGCAACUGUGA
rnacentral:rRNA from 1 species